rnacentral:rRNA from 1 species
UACGGAGGGGGCUAGCGUUGUUCGGAAUUACGGGGCGUAAAGCGCACGUAGGCGGCUUUGCAAGUCAGAGGUGAAAGCCCGGGGCUCAACCCCGGAAUUGCCUUUGAGACUGCAUCGCUAGAAUUGUGGAGAGGUAAGUGGAAUUCCGAGUGUAGAGGUGAAAUUCGUAGAUAUUCGGAAGAACACCAGUGGCGAAGGCGACUUACUGGACACAUAUUGACGCUGAGGUGCGAAAGCGUGGGGAGCAAACAGG